CUGAAGAGUUUGAUCCUGGCUCAGAUUGAACGCUGGUGGUAUGCUUAACACAUGCAAGUCGAACGGUAACAGAAGAAGCUUGCUUCUUGCUGACGAGUGGCGGACGGGUGAGUAACGCGUAGGAAUCUACCUAUCUGUGGGGGAUACCAGUUGGAAACGACUUGUUAAUACCGCAUAAUAUCUGCGGAUUAAAGGGCAACUUGUUGCUGCCGCGGAUGGAUGAGCCUGCGUUAGAUUAGCUUGUUGGUGGGGUAAAGGCCUACCAAGGCUACGAUCUAUAGCUGAUUUGAGAGGAUGAUCAGCCACAUUGGAACUGAGACACGGUCCAAACUCCUACGGGAGGCAGCAGUGGGGAAUAUUGGACAAUGGGCGAAAGCCUGAUCCAGCAAUACCAUGUGUGUGAAGAAGGCCUUAGGGUUGUAAAGCACUUUAGUUGGGGAGGAAGUGUUAUGAGUUAAUAGCUCAUAAGAAGGACGUUACCUGAAGAAUAAGGACCGGCUAACUCCGUGCCAGCAGCCGCGGUAAUACGGGGGGUCCGAGCGUUAAUCGGAAUUACUGGGCGUAAAGGGUUCGUAGGUGGUAUGUUAAGUCAGAUGUGAAAGCCCAGGGCUCAACCUUGGAACUGCAUUUGAUACUGGCAAACUAGAGUAUAGUAGAGGAGUGGGGAAUUCCUGGUGUAGCGGUGAAAUGCGUAGAGAUCAGGAGGAACACCAAUGGCGAAGGCAACACUCUGGACUAAUACUGACACUGAGGGACGAAAGCGUGGGGAUCAAACAGGAUUAGAUACCCUGGUAGUCCACGCUGUAAACGAUGAGUACUAGCUGUUGGAUUCGGUGUAAAGGAUCUAGUGGCGCAGCUAACGCGUUAAGUACUCCGCCUGGGGACUACGGCCGCAAGGCUAAAACUCAAAGGAAUUGACGGGGACCCGCACAAGCGGUGGAGCAUGUGGUUUAAUUCGAUGCAACGCGAAGAACCUUACCUGGUCUUGACAUCCUGAGAACUUUCUAGAGAUAGAUUGGUGCCUUCGGGAACUCAGUGACAGGUGCUGCACGGCUGUCGUCAGCUCGUGUUGUGAAAUGUUGGGUUAAGUCCCGCAACGAGCGCAACCCCUAUUGAUAGUUACCAUCAUUAAGUUGGGUACUCUAUUGAGACUGCCGCUGACAAGGCGGAGGAAGGUGGGGACGACGUCAAGUCAUCAUGGCCCUUAUGACCAGGGCUACACACGUGCUACAAUGGAUAUUACAGAGGGCAGCGAUACUGCGAAGUGGAGCGAAACUCAGAAAGGUAUUCUUAGUCCGGAUUGCAGUCUGCAACUCGACUGCAUGAAGUCGGAAUCGCUAGUAAUCGCGAAUCAGAAUGUCGCGGUGAAUACGUUCCCGGGUCUUGUACACACCGCCCGUCACACCAUGGGAGUGGGUUGCUCCAGAAGUAGAUAGCUUAACGAAUGGGCGUUUACCACGGAGUGAUUCAUGACUGGGGUGAAGUCGUAACAAGGUAGCCGUAGGGGAACCUGCGGCUGGAUCACCUCCUU
rnacentral:rRNA from 1 species